UACAGAGGGGGCAAGCGUUGUUCGGAAUUACUGGGCGUAAAGGGCGCGUAGGCGGCCUUCUAAGUCGAACGUGAAAUCCCCAGGCUCAACCUGGGAACUGCAUCCGAUACUGGAUGGCUUGAAUUCGGGAGAGGGAUGCAGAAUUCCAGGUGUAGCGGUGAAAUGCGUAGAUAUCUGGAGGAAUACCGGUGGCGAAGGCGGCAUCCUGGACCGACAUUGACGCUGAACGGCGAAAGCUAGGGGAGCAAACGGG
rnacentral:rRNA from 1 species